rnacentral:miRNA from 1 species
CUCUUUCUUUUUUUCCCCUCCCCUUCCCUUUCUUCUCGUUUCUCACUCCUUGUCUCGUUACUAAAUAACGCCAAAUGUUUUUUCUCCACACCGUGCUAUAAGUAAUGCUUUUGACCACGCUUAUGGCUAUGCUGUAAUUCCUAUUAUGACUUAGUUUAACAGGAAGAGAACGUUGCUUAAUUCAGUCACUCUUCAUACAGCUCAUUCCAAGUGGGACGAUGGACACACACACACACACGAGAGAGAGAGAGAGAGAGAGAGAGAGAGAGAGAGGAAGGGAGGGAGAUGGUGUGAGAGA